GCAAUAUCCUCCAGGCAGUUAUUAGGUUAAAUCACCUGGACAAGUAACAACAUCGCUGCAUGAUUUGAGAAAUCAUUCGUGCACCUUUGUAUGUUUUUUUGCUUUUUCCAGUGUUAUUGUAUUAUUCACAUUAUGUCUUCCUGACCCUGAUUGGUCUCUGCCUGUUUCAGUGGACAGAUCCAUGCUUCAUCAAUGGCGUCUGGAGUCAAAGGAAGGUAAAGACCAUUUCUUUCCCUCCUGAGUUCCUCCAAGCGGAACAGAUGACUCAAAGCCAGUGAGGAUUCAGAACAACUGGUGUCGUCGUUUGGCUGGAAAAACAGCAACAGCACCGUUUUAUGGCUCCGUCCAUUAGAGCGAACCCUGAGAGCUGGACUCUUUCAAUCAUCAUCCGCUUCCUCAAGUUUGUGUUUCACAGAAGACCCCUAGCUGCACCAACAUAAGGGUUUUCCAGACACUCCAUAUUGGUCGGAUACACAGAUAGCCCCGCCUACAAACUCACACGAUUGGUUAAGAUUUUACUCCUGAAAUGAACGGAAGAAUGAAUAUUAGCAGCCUGAUCUCACAAGGAAAGGUUUGAAGCCCAGGAGCAAAGGUCAAAACCCCCUCCAGCUUCAGAGGCAUGUCAGGUCACGCUGGCCACAUACUGCUGCUCACCCCGUUUAGACCACAAAAAACACUACUAACAAGAAAUGUGUGCACACCACGCAGGCAAGUGCCACUUCUGAAUAAAGUUGCAAACCAUUUUCCUCAUUAAAGAUAGAAAAGUAGGAUUAUUUUGUUCUUUAGGCCUCAUUGGAUGGAAGCAGAGAGUAUUUGAAUUGCAUUGUAUUGAGAAUAGGGUUAAAUGCGUUUCCCAAUUUGACCUACAGUUGAGGUCAGAAUUA